rnacentral:misc_RNA from 1 species
GAUGAAGAACGUAGCGAAAUGCGAUAAGUAAUGUGAAUUGCAGAAUUCAGUGAAUCAUCGAAUCUUUGAACGCACAUUGCGCCCGUCAGUAUUCUGGCGUGCAUGCCUGUUCGAGCGUCAUUACGCCCCUCAAGUCCCCUGUGGACUUGGUGUUGGGGAUCGGCGAGGCUGGUUUUCCAGCACAGCCGUCCCUUAAAUUAAUUGGCGGUCUCGCCGUGGCCCUCCUCUGCGCAGUAGUAAAACACUCGCAACAGGAGCCCGGCGCGGUCCACUGCCGUAAAACCCCCCAACUUUUUAUAGUUGACCUCGAAUCAGGUAGGACUACCCGCUGAACUUAAGCAUAUCAAUAAGCGGAGGA